ensembl:lincRNA
AUGCAGAUGGGCCCGGGGAUAGAGUCACAGCCGCAAAUGCAGGGCCACAGGUCAAGGUUGAGGUUGGAGCCAGGCGUGGGGUCCGGGGUUGAAGUGGGGCCACGUCCACGCACGAUUUGCUGGGUCGUGGAGGCCAAAGGGCAAGGCACAGCUUCCCUGGCAGUGAUUUUUGUUACGGUCUCCAGAUUUCCUUUAUUUCGGAAGAGCUUUGCCGCGCUGAUUGUUGAUACUCCCCCUCCUCUUCAGAGAGCUCCUCAGCUGCCGUUCUGUUGCUCAGCCGGAAGUUGCUCAGGUUGUACACAGUUUCUCUUGACUGUUCCCGCGUCAGAUCCUCAACAUCAUCACUACCUGCGAGCCUGUGGACUCUGCUGUAGGGACAGGUCACCAACUACGGGGUCACCUGAAGGCUCAAGCUCCUCUCUCCUGUGUAAUUUCAGGCCACACCUUCUUCCAGGCAGAUUUCAGGGUCCUUGGCCCAGGACUUCUCAAUUAACCGUACACCAGAAAGACCAGCAUUCAGGUCCUAAUUGAAGACUGUGCUCCUAAGUUAAAAUUAAAAUUCUGGCCGUAACCCAAAUUGUUCCUGUGUGAGGCCAGUUGUGACUCAAUUAAGGGUCCCCUGUAACUGUAUUAGAGCACUGGCCUAGCAUGUUUGCGGCCUGCAGUGUAAUGCCCACCUCUGCAACCCAUCGAUCCUAUCAAGAAUAUCGUUUAUUUUUAAAAGUCAGGCAAUUAAUCGAUCGGGUUUAGCUUGCAAGUUUUAACCAGCACUGUGUGGGUUGUGAUACCAGGGUGAAUUGUGUUUUCAAAGACACUGCAGUACUUGUGGAGUCUCUGCCUGAAGGGGAGUCGAGCGUGGCCGUCUCGUCUCCUGCUCAGGUUCACACUGUCUCCCUGCCACCACAGGACUGCGUAAGGGCAGGGGCAAAUGAAAACGAAACCCACCUCUAUCUCACCGGGCUACGCCAGCACUGAAGAGCUCUGUGAGCUGUCUGGUGCUUACGUCCCCUUCUGGGUGUUUUAGCUGCACCAUUUAGAUCAGAUGAUCCCGAAGGGGGGGUUUGCUGGGAUUUUGAAAUUUCAUGGAUUUUUUUGCCCCCACUCAUCUCCUACUACUUACUUCUCAGAUCCUCAAAACCUUUUCCGUGCACUCUGUCCAGGUCUGAGACAGACACCAUACCUGUGCUUACACUGUGUGUUAGCCACUGUAACAAAAUAUCUGAGUUAAAAGACUUAAGGAGGAAAUACUUUGGCUUACGGUUUCAGUCCAUGGUGGCCGGGUCCUGUUGUUUCGGUGCCUGUUGAGGUGAGGCAGCAACAUCCUGGCAGAAGCAUGUGGUGGGGGAAACUUAACUCACGCUCACCGGGGAGCAAAGAGACAAGAAGGGGCCGGGAUCCCAGUAUACCCCUUCUAGGAAGCACUGAAGGCACAUCCUUAAAAGUGUCAGCAUCCCAAGGAGAAUGUACCGUGUACAUCACUUUGGUAUCAAUUUUAUGGAAUCCUGAAGAGAAAUCAUGGCCAAGCCAUGACACUUCUAACCUACAAGAAGUGUUAACAUAGUCAUGUUGUUAAUCCACUGAGAGGCUCAGUCAGGAGGACCCCAAGUUCAGUCCCAUCUGAACAACUUAGUGACUCCUUGUCUCAAAAAAUAAAAAUGGGUUGGGGAUGUAGCUCAGUGUGAAGGGCCUGGGUUCAAUCGGACAAAAACCAGAGGGAGAAGAAACAUAUUUAUCAUAUCAGAAGAGUGGACAAAAAAUUUGGAACCAUUCUUCAUAGAUCACAGUGUGUCUGGGUCAUAUUUCAAUGGCUGGGUUAUCUUGUGGCCUCUUCAUCAGCUGUGUGCUGUGUCUACUAGUGGGUUACCACUGUUUCAGUCUCGUAGCUAACUUCUCAGUCAACACCUGGUCACGAAAGUCACUGUGUUCAAAACUGUUCUAUAUUUUAUAAGACAGGAAUGAUAUUAAAACCUAAAACAUGCUGGGCAUGGUGGUGCAUGCCUGUAAUCCCAGCACUGAGGAGGCUGAGGCAGGAGGAUCGGCUGUGAAUUCGAGACCAGUCUGGGCUACAUAGUGAGCUCCAGGUCACUCUCAACUACAUAGUGAGACCCUGUCUCAAAAAAAAACAAAGC